AACUUCACACAGUGGCAGUGUCAUAGCCAAUGAGGUUUAUCUGAGGCAGGUUAUUGCUAAUUGAAGGAAAUCCAUUGACAAAACUCCACUAAACUGGGUUGGUUCUUGGCAUAUGAGUCUGUCCUUAGGCA
rnacentral:snRNA from 1 species